UACAGAGGGUGCAAGCGUUAAUCGGAAUUACUGGGCGUAAAGCGCGCGUAGGUGGUUUGUUAAGUUGGAUGUGAAAGCCCCGGGCUCAACCUGGGAACUGCAUCCAAAACUGGCAAGCUAGAGUACGGUAGAGGGUGGUGGAAUUUCCUGUGUAGCGGUGAAAUGCGUAGAUAUAGGAAGGAACACCAGUGGCGAAGGCGACCCCCUGGACUGAUACUGACACUGAGGUGCGAAAGCGUGGGGAGCAAACAGG
rnacentral:rRNA from 1 species